rnacentral:rRNA from 1 species
CGCCUGGGGAGUGCGGCCGCAAGGUUAAAACUCAAAUGAAUUGACGGGGGCCCGCACAAGCGGUGGAGCAUGUGGUUUAAUUCGACGCAACGCGAAGAACCUACCUGGCCUUGACAUGCAGAAAACUUUCCAGAGAUGGAUUGGUGCCUUCGGGAACUCUGACACAGGUGCUGCACGGCCGUCGUCAGCUCGUGUCGUGAGAUGUUGGGUUAAGUCCCGUAACGAGCGCAACCCCUAUCCCUAGUUGCUAGCAGUUCGGCUGAGAACUCUAGGGAGACUGCCGGUGACAAACCGGAGGAAGGUGGGGAUGACGCCAGGUCAUCAUGGCCCUUACGGCCAGGGCUACACACGUGCUACAAUGGCGCGCACAGAGGGCUGCAAACCCGCGAGGGGGAGCCAAUCUCACAAAACGCGUCGUAGUCCGGAUCGCAGUCUGCAACUCGACUGCGUGAAGUCGGAAUCGCUAGUAAUCGUGAAUCAGAAUGUCACGGUGAAUACGUUCCCGGGCCUUGUACACACCGCCCGUCACACCAUGGGAGUGGAUUGCACCAGAAGUGGUUAGUCUAACCUUCGGGAGGACGAUCACCACGGUGUGGUUCAUGACUGGGGUGAAGUCGUAACAAGGUAACCGUA